GGAAUUUACAGUGUCUUUGGAGAGAAGGGU
rnacentral:piRNA from 1 species